GCGAAUAUCUUCUAUUUGUGCUUGUUUUGCCCUGUUUAUGAUCAAUUUUUCCUCACUUAUAAACUACGUAUCUUCACCUAUAUUUGCGAAACCAAAGAUCCGAACAUGUAGACUUUAGAUAGCACUACGAAAACAAGAGGAUAAAACCAUGUUCAAAAAGCCACACAUACACCUAUAGCAUGCAGGACAUCUGCCUAUACAAAGCAAGAUUAUGCAAUAUAACAGCUAUAAAUGGAAACUAAUAAUUGACUUAUGGUAGAAAAAGGGGGAAAAAGAGCAACUUCUUUGAUAUCAUCAUUCAUCGAAAGAAUGGCUUCCUGGGAGAGUCGAAAUAUAUUUACAACAAUCAGCAUCGUAAGACACGCUUGAUGAAAAGCCCGAACCGAAUAAAAACUCACAUCGGUGAAUGAAUCUCGAACGUUGUUGUUAAGAAGUUCCUCCUUUGCAAGGCUUGUGGCCCGAUCCUCGUUGAUUGCAAUUAACAACUCCUCUAGUUCGUUCUGGAUAACAGAAGAAUUAUAUAUUUAAGAUAACAGGCUAAUAGAACUGAUCGAGAAUUUCAUCGAACCAAGUUCAGAAACCAAUGUGGUCAUCGCCACUUUCACUACAGCCUGCAUGUGCGUUUGUGUGGUACCUUGCAAAAUGUAAUGUCAAAGACAAAGACAGGUUAAAUUUCAAGCUAGCAUAUCGUGCACAAUGACCCAACAAGGUGAGCACGACACACAGCAGCUUAUAAUAUCAGACAAAAGCAUGAGGGAAAGGCUGCAUUAAUUGGCACCGACCAAGCAACUAAUCAAAACUGGUUUGUUUGCUCGUGCAUAGGCCUUUAGUUGUCUCAGGCUCGGUGCCAACUGUUAAAUAUUCUUUUUAAAAGAUGUGGUGCCUCUUGAGGAAGCGUUUUCUUUUUAUUCCUAAUCUUGUAAAUAAUUUGUAGAGGAUCGCGGGUGCUGGAGGUCAGAUGGUAAGGAUGCGGUCUGUGGUCCGGGUUUGGAAGUUUCAUGGGAAGUUUUGGAUAAAACAUAGUAGGCAGCACAUAAUUUUCGUAACAUUUGCGCACUUGUCAUUGUGCUAAUACUAUAGUUUAAUUUGUAUACACCGCGAGAAUUAGUGCAAGCAAGGUAUAUAUAUUUCAUAUAAUAUACUCGCUAAUCCCGUUAAGCAAAGCUGAUUUGCCUGAAGGUAGCGCUAAAAUAAGGAACAUGCAUUGUUUGAUUUCCCACUUUAAUACGGAAAUAGAUUUUUUAUCUCUUUUAUCGAUUUAGAAGAACUAACUUUUGUUGUGAUAUUCAACAUUUGAAUUUAGGUGAAGUAGCUAUAUAAACAACAUCUAGUCUAAAUAUAUUUCGAUUGUUUAAGGUGAUUAUGACCAAUUCCAAAAAAGACUGAAGACCUGUGUAUCGAUGUAUAUCGAUACUGUAUACUCUGAAACUUUAUACAUUACUCUGUACACCCAAGUUCGGACAAAGUCAGUAAAGGGAAUGGUGAAGUCAUGGUCCCAGAUGGUUAAACAAUUGUUCGAAAAGCUGGACAGUAUUCAACACACUUUGAACAACAUUCUUAAAAAAUCUUCGACACAAUCUGCUCCUUUGUCAUGGGAUCACACUUUCACCCCUCCGAACAAAAAAAAACGAAAUUGGAUGACGAGAACAGUAUGGAGCUCAACAAAAUAUCUCCGAAAUCCUCAAGCAGUCAAAAAGCAAGAUCAUGCAUGCAUUGUUACGUGUCAACUAUAUAGUUCCAUGCAAGACCUAAAUUCUCCAAUCCAAGUUUAAGAUGACAUAGAUGAUGAAAAAUUUGUAAGAAACCACCACUUACAAUGUGUUUACCUGGCUAUACCGGAUUCGCGUGGUCACGAUAUCAAAACUAUUCCAUGUCAGGGGUUUUACCCCUAUAGUAUGAUAGCAUGAUUGCUUUAACAUAACCUGCAAAAUGAAAAAGUUCUGGUGAUCACAGAAAACCCCUACCGUAAAACAACUAAAUUCAUGUCUUGACCACGUGAAUCCGGUAUAUAGUGUAAACUAGAACGUUAUCGUUUUUUUGGUUCAUGGCCGUACUUUAUUACCAAAUUAUUUACUGCAUGGCUUGCAGAUAAGAAAAGUUGUAAACCCAGCUAGUCUAUAAAAGACAUUUCUUUUAAUGCAUCGGAAUACAAGCGGAAUAAAUCUGUUGACGGAUGUUCCUGCGAAGUCAAAGAAGCCGAAUUUAUAUGCAACACAGCUGCUUUCGAUCCUGUUCACCAAGGAAGAGAUUAGAAAUGGAUGUGUUGAACCAAGAGACGGGAAAGGGAAGGAAAAAGUCCCGAACCAGGAAAAAAUAAAUUUAAUAAAAAGUAAGUUGAAUUUUUCAAUUAUUACUAACUGUUGACAAAUUAUUGUAUCGUUUUUAACACAUCAUUAAUCGUAAUGCAUAUUUACAUCAAAGCAGUAUACCUGAAAAAGGCAGCGUUAGAAGAGAAUGAUGCAUGAUAAGCAGGAAGAUCAUAAACAGCCAGUCACCGUGCGGUGUCAGAUAGCGAACAUAAUGUUUUAAUCAUAGACAUAGUGGAUUUGAUGUAAAUCGGAUAUCAGAUGAAUUGUUAAAGGCCGGAUUAAGGAUACCACCUAACAGCUAUUUUACUUAUCUCUUUUUAUACAUAUGCUUCAAAUGUACAACAAUAAUUA